UUGCUGAACUACUGCUAGGACAGCCUAUAUUCCCUGGUGAAAGCGGAGUUGACCAGCUGGUUGAAAUAAUUAAGGUUUUAGGCACUCCAACAAGGGAAGAAAUUAGAUGCAUGAAUCCUAAUUACACAGAAUAUAGAUUCCCGCAGAUAAGGCACACCCUUGGCACAAGAUCUUCCAUAAACGAAUGCCUCCUGAAGCUGUCGAUCUUGUAUCUAGACUUCUACAAUACUCUCCAAACCUGAGA